AUUGAACGCUGGCGGCAUGCCUAACACAUGCAAGUCGAACGGUAACAGGUCAAGUGAUCCCUUCGGGGUGAGCGAGAUGCUGACGAGUGGCGGACGGGUGAGUAAUGCGUAGGAAUCUACCUUCAAGUGGGGGAUAGCCCGGAGAAAUCCGGAUUAAUACCGCAUGUCCUCUACGGAGAAAAGCGGGCCUCUGUUUCAAGCUCGCGCUUGAAGAUGAGCCUACGUCGGAUUAGCUAGUUGGUAGGGUAAAGGCCUACCAAGGCGACGAUCCGGAGCUGGUUUGAGAGGAUGAUCAGCCACACUGGGACUGAGACACGGCCCAGACUCCUACGGGAGGCAGCAGUGGGGAAUAUUGGACAAUGGGCGCAAGCCUGAUCCAGCAAUGCCGCGUGUGUGAAGAAGGCCUGCGGGUUGUAAAGCACUUUUAUCGGGAAAGAAAAGCUUGGGGCUAAUACCUCCAAGCCUUGACGGUACCCGUUGAAUAAGCACCGGCUAACUCCGUGCCAGCCGCCGCAGUAACAC
rnacentral:rRNA from 1 species